rnacentral:rRNA from 2 species
UGCAGUCGACGAGCUUCCGUUGAAUGACGUGCUUGCACUGAUUUCAACAAUGAAGCGAGUGGCGAACUGGUGAGUAACACGUGGGGAAUCUGCCCAGAAGCAGGGGAUAACACUUGGAAACAGGUGCUAAUACCGUAUAACAACAAAAUCCGCAUGGAUUUUGUUUGAAAGGUGGCUUCGGCUAUCACUUCUGGAUGAUCCCGCGGCGUAUUAGUUAGUUGGUGAGGUAAAGGCCCACCAAGACGAUGAUACGUAGCCGACCUGAGAGGGUAAUCGGCCACAUUGGGACUGAGACACGGCCCAAACUCCUACGGGAGGCAGCAGUAGGGAAUCUUCCACAAUGGACGAAAGUCUGAUGGAGCAAUGCCGCGUGAGUGAAGAAGGGUUUCGGCUCGUAAAACUCUGUUGUUAAAGAAGAACACCUUUGAGAGUAACUGUUCAAGGGUUGACGGUAUUUAACCAGAAAGCCACGGCUAACUACGUGCCAGCAGCCGCGGUAAUACGUAGGUGGCAAGCGUUGUCCGGAUUUAUUGGGCGUAAAGCGAGCGCAGGCGGUUUUUUAAGUCUGAUGUGAAAGCCUUCGGCUUAACCGGAGAAGUGCAUCGGAAACUGRGAGACUUGAGUGCAGAAGAGGACAGUGGAACUCCAUGUGUAGCGGUGGAAUGCGUAGAUAUAUGGAAGAACACCAGUGGCGAAGGCGGCUGUCUAGUCUGUAACUGACGCUGAGGCUCGAAAGCAUGGGUAGCGAACAGGAUUAGAUACCCUGGUAGUCCAUGCCGUAACGAUGAGUGCU